rnacentral:tRNA from 2 species
GGAGGGGUCGGAUAGUGGUUCAUUCCAUCGCACUUGAAAUGCGACGUCCCGCAAGGGACCCGUGAGUUCGAAUCUCACCCCCUCCGCCA